rnacentral:rRNA from 1 species
UACGAAGGGGGCUAGCGUUGCUCGGAAUUACUGGGCGUAAAGCGCACGUAGGCGGCUUUGUAAGUUAGAGGUGAAAGCCCGGGGCUCAACCCCGGAAUUGCCUUUAAGACUGCAUCGCUUGAAUCCGGGAGAGGUGAGUGGAAUUCCGAGUGUAGAGGUGAAAUUCGUAGAUAUUCGGAAGAACACCAGUGGCGAAGGCGGCUCACUGGACCGGCAUUGACGCUGAGGUGCGAAAGCGUGGGGAGCAAACAGG